rnacentral:rRNA from 1 species
UACGGGGGGGGUAAGCGUUGUUCGGAAUUACUGGGCGUAAAGGGCUCGUAGGCGGCCAACUAAGUCAGACGUGAAAUCCCUCAGCUUAACUGGGGAACUGCGUCUGAUACUGGAUGGCUUGGAUUCGGGAGAGGAAUGCGGAAUUCCCGGUGUAGCGGUGAAAUGCGCAGAUAUCGGGAGGAACACCAAUGGCGAAGGCAGCUCGCUGGGACGUUACUGACGCUGAGACGCGAAAGCGUGGGGAGCAAACAGG